AUUGAACGCUGGCGGCAGGCCUAACACAUGCAAGUCGAGCGAGCGGCGGACGGGUGAGUAAUGUCUGGGAAACCGCCUGAUGGAGGGGGAUAACUACUGGAAACGGUAGCUAAUACCGCAUCUUAUCAGAUUUGCCCAGAUGGGUUUAGCUAGUUGGUGGGGUAACGGCUAAACUGGGCAACGAUCCCUAGCUGGUCUGAGAGGAUGACCAGCCACACUGGAACGGAGACACGGUCCAGACUCCUACGGGAGGCAGCAGUGGGGAAUAUUGCACAAUGGGCGAAAGCCUGAUGCGGCAAGGCCGCGGGUGUGAAGAAGGCCUUCGGGUUGUAAACCACUUUGAGCGGGGAGGCGUUACCUGCAGAAGAAGCACCGGCUAACUACGUGCCAGCAGCCGCGGUAAUAC
rnacentral:rRNA from 1 species